ACGAACGCUGGCGGCGUGCUUCACACAUGCCAGUCGAACGGAAAGGCCCUGCUUUUGUGGGGUGCUCGAGUGGCGAACGGGUGAGUAACACGUGAGUAACCUGCCCUUGACUUUGGGAUAACUUCAGGAAACUGGGGCUAAUACCGGAUAGGAGCUCCUGCUGCAUGGUGGGGGUUGGAAAGUUUCGGCGGUUGGGGAUGGACUCGCGGCUUAUCAGCUUGUUGGUGGGGUAGUGGCUUACCAAGGCUUUGACGGGUAGCCGGCCUGAGAGGGUGACCGGCCACAUUGGGACUGAGAUACGGCCCAGACUCCUACGGGAGGCAGCAGUGGGGAAUAUUGCACAAUGGGCGGAAGCCUGAUGCAGCAACGCCGCGUGCGGGAUGACGGCCUUCGGGUGGUAAACCGCUUUCGCCUGUGACGAAGCGUGAGUGACGGUAAUGGGUAAAGAAGCACCGGCUAACUACGU
rnacentral:rRNA from 1 species